GUUUUAUCCGCUCUAUUCAUGAUGGCUAAUACCAUUGCUAGAGAUAUAGGUUUGUCCUUUUCUUUUCCUUAUUGUUGACCACUUGGCAAAUUAUCUAGAAUGAAGGAAAGUUUGUGCCUCUAUAAAGAACAAAAAUACUGGUCACAAAAAACUUCACGUUUCUUCAACCUUGUCCUCUGCAACCUUUUAUACUAAAGAAAAACUUCUGAUUAAGCGUCCACAGAUUUCCAGUAAGCAGUUGCUUCAAUUUCAGGUCACUCUCUUCAGUCCUUCAGUUUCUUGCCUUUUCUUUUCCUGUUAAUAAUAUGUACAACUGAUUAUGAAGGAAGGGUUGUCACCACUUACUGAAUAGAGAUAACCAAGCUAAAACAAGUUCAAUUCUCAAUCUGAAGUGUAAGCUGAGAAUAAAAGAUAAAGAGUCUUACACAUUAAGGUUUUGCCCCACGUUGAAGGUAUUAUGCACAAAAGUUAGGUAGGCAAUAGAAGAAACAAAACUUAAAACUGAUAAUGCUAAUAUUGAGUUUCUAGAAUUUGUUGUAGCUGGCUUAGAGAUGUGGUAUAUUAAUUCUUCAAAACUAUUUCUAAAUGCAACGUUCCUGGUUCCACAGAACUCUCAAAUUUUAAAACCAUAACAUGGUGGCUGAUCUAUUAAUAUUCACGUAUUUUGGAUACAGUUAAUGAUGCAUAAUCGGUUCUAUGAAUACUAUUACACCCAAUUAAAGAUUGCAGAAUCUGUGGCAAUUUCUCUAAAUCCGAGUAUCUAUAAAGUUGGAACAUUAAAAAAAAAACACGAGGUUUCCUUGAUGAAAUAUGUUUCUUGACGAACUUUGAACCAUACAACCUAAUAUUUGCAUGAAAAAAUGUGCAGACCUAAUGGAGCCAGAUUGUCUGGUAAGCAAUAGAAGUGUGUUGUUUCGUGGCUUAAAAUGACUGUAGUUUUUGGGUUGUAAGUUCAUUUGGUUUCACUUAUUGACUGAAUAUGGCUGAAAAUGAUUGUAUCUCUGCAAUCUUUCCUACUAAAACUAAUUACGCCUUUCUUUUUGUCUAAUUUUUUCCUCUGUCAGUAUUAGACUUAUUAGAUAGUUUGCAUAGUUUUACGUUGACUGAUAGGAUUCUUCUACAUGCUAUUUAGAUUGCCAACUCUGUUCAGUGGUUCAGUUGCGGUAUUCCUCUGUCAACAACUUUUUUUCCCAAAUUUUGGCUGGUCUUUUGAUUCACAAAGAUCGUAUUCUAUCUCAUCUCUCAAUCAUGUGAUUAUUGCAAAUAAGACAUUUUUGCAGAUUUGAUCGAUUUUCUAGUUAUGAUGACAGAUAGCCUUCUUAGCAAUUUAGGGCUUUACGUUUUGGGGAAAUAUGGAAUCAGAAAGAGAACAGACAUAUUUAUCACUCCUUAUUUUGUCUUGCAAUCUGAGCUUUUACUAUUGGAAGGAAAUAGGAGCAGCAAAAAAUCCCACCUUGCUCUUCGCUGCUUUUUCUCUGGUGCCUCCUUGGUUGCAAGCAAAUACAGAUGUUCAAACAAGUAAAGUAUGUGAAAUCUCAUAGGCUAAUGACUAUCAAGCGUUUGAUGAAAUGUCUAUAUGAAACUUGGGAUAAUUAGUAGAGAAAACGUGGAGAGAAAGAUUACACAGAUGCUUAAAAUGUAAUGGAAAGUGUAUGGUGCCUUGAGUAACUUGUGAUUCUUAUGGGCCUAUCAAAUGUGUGACGUGCAUGGGUGGUGGUUCUCUUUUGACUCGCAAAGUGGCUGUUAUGAGAUGGAAGACACUUUCAACUCGAAAAGUGAGUGCAACAAGUAGAGCUGCUACAGUUCCUGACGAUGUUUUCCACAGAGUGCAAGGCAUCCAGUUGUGCAAUACCCAAGCCUACCAAUGCACUCCUACCUUUUUUGCCGAUUCAUUCUUCCUCAGCAAGCUUUCCUCUGAAGUAACUGCAGAAAGGGCUUCGGUCCCUCAUACUGCAAGGGUUAUAGUGAGAGACAUAUCAUCUCUGUUGUCCCAGUCACUCAUGUGACUAUGGCCCAUCAUAAUUGCUCUUUCAAUUUCUAUAUUAUCGGAAACGGUAGAGAGGUUUAUCUCAAGGACUAUCCGGCUAGGUUCUGUUAGGGCCUGAGCCCUUGCUUUGAGUGGUUGAAAUCAGAAGUUGCUGUUUUUACUCCAGAGGUCCUUCACUUGCUAGAGUGAAAUGAUUUCUAGGGGACAGAUAUUUUAGUUUUUGCUCGAAAUUGGGAAGAUAGAGUCAGUUCAAACAUGUUAAUGGGUUAUGCGUUGAGUGAAUGAGCUAUUGUACGAAUCAAGAUUUUUUUGUGCUCAUGCAAAAAUAGAAGUUAAGCUGGUAACUACAACCAGAAAUGCUAGCACAUAUAAAAUGGUGCAACUAUUGCAAUGA